GGGGGUGACCAGGAUUCGACGGGGAUAGUUGAUAUCAAAGCCGCAGGCCGAGCGUCCCAGUGACUCGUUAAUCCAACGGGACUUAAACACAAAAGCAGACUCUCACGAGUACGCACUGGCUGCAUAGCCAGCGCUCCUGUAGAAAUGCGGCCCACAGUUUUACAGGGGCGUAGCCAAUCGGGCUGGUCAAAUCAGGGUGGAGUGAGCCUGAACUGACGAGAAAAUUCUGAUUCCUCGCCCAGAGAUUGCCUGUCCGUUGGCGGUCAAAGGGUUAAAACUAAAUAACGGAAUAAGCCUGUAGACACUUUGGGGGAAGAUCUUCGGACGCGGGUUCGAUUCCCGCCACCUCCACCA
rnacentral:tmRNA from 1 species